rnacentral:lncRNA from 1 species
AGGAGCGAGGUAUGAAGUACACAAUAAGCAGAGUGAAGUAGAGUGCCAUUUAUCAAACACCGGCCAGAUGUCCUUGGUGUGUGCAUCCCUGUGGAAUCUGGUUCAUCUCCAAUCUGUCAGAAAGCAUCAGAGGUGGUUUUGAGUCCUUAUGUCCUGAGCCUGUGGACAAAAUGUACCUUGUGUGGAGGAAAAUGAGAUCCCGAGUGAAGUCUACAAUGUCAUUGACUCUGAAGAAGGACUCAGAGACCCAUUGGUGUUUAAUGACCCUUACUGGCCUAUGCAAUGGGAACUGGCUCAGCUAUAUAUGAUCACAGGCCCAUCCCCUAAAACUUAUAUGGAAACUUGAAUGAUGUCAGCUUCUAAAGGACACUGUAUGAAGGACUGGAUUGCCAGUGGUAAGGAGGAGAAAAGGAACAAGAAAAAUUGGAAAGAUAAAUGUGGUCUUUCCAGUGAAGACCCAGACUGGGAGUGUCUCAAGAGAAAGACUGAGCCACAGAGGCAGAAUCCCACAGGUGUUUCAGGCUCAAUUUUCCUACAUAAUUCAGAGUUGUGGCUUGGGCAAUGCCAAGAACCACAUCUGCACUGAAAUCAAUUAUCUGUUGGGCUACCGAUGUGCAGAACAAGCUCCCAAUCAGCCACGUGACCGCAAAGAUGACUUCCACUAACAUAGAUGGAGGAUGUGUAGCUCAUUUCAGUGGGACAUCCAGAGUCCUGUCUACAGUGGUUGGAGUUCUGGCUUAAAUUCAAGCAGCUGAAAACACAAGAAAUAAGAAGACCGUUUGAGAAGAGCAGAUAGUUGCCUUAAGAAAAUUCCUGUCAUAUGCACUCUGGGAUUUGGACUCAAAUCCUAAUUAUACAGAUACACAGAGGAGAAGGAAGUCUACCUCGCCAGAGGGACCUCACCAGAACCCAACCAUGCUGGCGCCCUGAACUCAGACUUCCAGCCUCCAGAACUGACCAUGGGCAUUUCUGGAAAUAGUUGUACCGUGGACUAAGCAACACUGUUGCUUCAUGUAGAAUUUUGAGAGACUGCCUCAAGGAACUUGAGCCAUCCAGGAUCUUGCCAUCGGACAAGAUAUCAAUUUCCUUUGAAGGUACUUCUGGUCCGGCAAGUGCUAACUGAAUCACCUUGGUACUUGACAUCGAUGACUGUCAGCAUAAUAAAUGUCUGGUAAGAGUUUAUCUGGUUCAGUUCUUCUGGACUGGAGUGGAACCAUCUUCCAACUCCAUUGUUUGAAUCUCUGGCACCCCAGAGAUGAAGAACAGGGAAUUCUAUACUGUACUCUCAGAGCUUCUGUCUACAGACCAUUUAUGAUUUCACACCCACAAGAUGAUGAUUUCAGGAUGCAGUUUCAUGUGUAAGCCUGCCCCACCUGCACAGCUGAAUUGUAUUCUGUGUAUUCUGUGUGUGGAUGUUCCAAGUUGUAUACGGUAGAGUUGUCUCUGAGACAUAAAGACCAAUGUUCAAGGACCAGAGAGAGUCUUCAGGAACUAAGGGUAGUCUCCAGAUGACAUCCAGCAAGGAACUGGUUUCUGCCAACAACCUGAGUGAGCUUGGUAGGAGAGUCUCCCCUAGGGCCUCUAUACAACCUGACCUGCCAACACCUUGGUUUUGGUCCUGGGAGGCUCUCAGCAGAGAACCAGCUCAGUAACACUGUGCUGGGAUGUCUGGGCCUUUCCUAAGUGGAAGAUUCUUAAUUUGUGCUGAUGAAAGCCACCCAUUUUGUGGUGUUUGGCUCAUAUUGCUGUCUGAAGGCUUUCUUUGUCUUCUCCUGCCCCCUUCAUUUUCACAGGCAUCACCUCCACCUCUUGCAAUUAAGAAAAAAAAUACUUGAGAGAAGUAAGGUUGCAUGAUGAGAGUGCCUUGAUUUCUUAAGAAGCAACACUUUCACAUCAUAAGGGUGCCUGCCCCAGUGUCCUGUUAGAUAGUGAACUGGAGUCUCUAUACUGCCUGUGUGCAGUGAGGAAGAAAUGAGAUGUCUUCCUGUUGUGUUUCAGGAAACAAACAGAACACCUUUGUUGUAAGAAAGAAGUUGGAAGAGACCAUUAAUUAUUUAAUUAUUUUUCUUAUCAUCUUCCAUUGCUUUAUUAUCCUUAUCUUUCAAUUCAUAUUUUAUGUGUUUUUUUGAAGUAUAGUUGAUGCACAUGACUAUAAUAAUUAAACAUGUAAAAUAUAAGGAUUCACAUUUUAAGUUACAUUCUGUUUAUACUUAUAAAAUAUCAGAUAUAUUCCUUGUUGUCACAAAAUAUAUGCUUGUCCCUUAUUUUAUACAUAAUAGUUUGUGGCUCUUAAUCUCUCUCCCUGUAUUACCUCUCCCCCUUCCCUCUCCCCACUGGUAGCCACUAGUUUUAUCUGUAUAUCUGUGAUUCUGUUUCUUGUUAUAUUCAUUAGUUUGUUGUAGAUUUUUUUAGAUUCCACAUAGAAGUGAUAUCAUACAGUAUUUGUCUUUCUCUGUCUGACUUAUUUUAUGUAGCAUAAUAUCCCUUGUGUCCAUCCAUGUUGUGCAAUGUUAUCCAUUCACCUAUGGAUGGACACUUAGGUUGCUUUGAUAUCUUGGCUAUUGUAAAUAAAGCUGCUGUGAACCCUAGAUUGCAUGUAUCUUUUCAAGUUGUUGUUUUUGGUGUAUUUUGGAUGCAUACCCAUCAGUAGAAUUGCUGGUCUUUUGGUAGUUCUAGUUUUAGUUUUUGUAGAAACCUCAGAAAUGAUCUCCAGGGUGGCUGUAUCAGUUUCCAUCCAGAUCAAUGCUGUACAAGAGUCCCCUUUUCUCCACAUCCUUGCCAGCAUUUGCUAUUUGUGUUCUUUUUGAUGAGAGCCAUUCUGACAGGUAUGAGUUUGUUUCUCAUUGUGGUUUUGAUUUGCAUUUCCCUAGAGACUAGUGAUGUUGAGCCUUUUUUCAUGUGCUUGUUUGGCCAUUUGCAUGUCCUCUUUGGAAAAAUGUCUGUUCAGGUCUAAAAAUAUGGAACGCUUCAUGAAUUUGUGUGCCAUUCUUGUGCAGGGGCCAUGCUAAUCUUCUCUGUAUCAUUCCAAUUUUAGUAUAUGGCUGCCAAAGUGAGCACCCAGUUUAUAUUUUAAAUUUAUAAAUUAAUAGUGUGGUAUCAGAGUGUUCUAAAAGGCUUCUUAAUAAAAUGUACCAUAGAAGAGCCUUAACACACCAUAAUCCCACUGUUCCCAUUUUACAGAUAGGGAAAUACAGGCCUAUAGGCCUGAAAUACUUCCCAGAAAGUCAUAGGACUUGGUAAUUAGUGGCAGAGCCAGAAAUGCAUGAGAGGAGUGAGCAAAUGAAAACUAAUUUUACUCUAUAUUUACUCUUUAAAAAGUAGUUAUUAACUUUUAAAAAUAUAUGUAACAUAAUAUUAUUUUUAAAUUUUUUUAAAUAAAUAUUGGGUAUCAGUUAAACAUUUGAGCUACGAAUGCUAAAACAUAGCCUGUCUUCUUAACUUUACCUCCAAAAAGGUGACUUUAUUAUGGGCAAGGAAUAUAAAAUGAAGUUAAAGAUGACAUUAGAGCCAAGAGAGCAUUUAAAGCUGAAGGGAAACUGGUCAUGAUUUAACUUGAAGAUAGUAAAGUAUAGGCACAGAAAUUGAGUAAUCAGAUGUACCCACCUUCAAGGAAGUAAACAAAUUUUGUAAUAAAAGAGUAUUUCCUCUACUAGUGAAUAUAAAACAAUUUGUAACCUACUUUAUGUUACUAUAAUAGGAGCAUCUAAUGAUAGUUCCAUUUCAUUUUCAUACUCUCUUUUAUCUCAAAACCUCCCCAGGAUACCUAGAAAUAUUAAUUUAUUAAGUCAUUCAAAAUUACAUUCAAUCAGAUAAGGAUAGACAAGAUCACCUCACUCUACUCACAUUUUUAAUGGGCUCAUCCCACUAAAUUGAGACUCACUAAUCUACUCUCCACAUUUCACAACCAUAUCGAGAUUUUUUUUUUAAUUAUUUUUGGCAAUGCCCAUGAUAUGCAAAAGUUCCUGGGCCAAGACUCUAGCCCAAGCUACAGCAGUGACAAUGACAGAUCCUUAACCACUAGGCUACCAGGAAACUCCUGAUGUCUAUAUUUUAGAAAGCUCUUCAGUUAUGUAGAGAGGUCCUUUAUAAAAUUAGAUAAAAAGAAUCACAAUGUUUGUAUAUAUUUCACAUGGAAUGUAAGCAUGAUUUGAUCAGAAGCCUUUUUUUUUUUUUUUCUUAGCAAGCAUACAGCUAUAGCCAUUGCAGAAUUAUCUCUAUUUCUGGCUUUCUCUCUGUGUCUUCAAGCUGAUGCCACUGUUUCACUGUUUCAUACAGAAAGCUCAUCUCCAAUCACUGUAUCUGUGCUAGUUAGAGCCAGGGGUUACCAACUCUCAGUGGGAUAUAUUCGUACUGGAAUUAUUAAUAAUGUCCACCUCCUUCCUAACCUUUCUCAUUUCUGAUAUACAAUACUCAUCUUUCUGAGCAAGUGAGUUAACCCAGUACAGACAGUUUUAUCAUCUAGUUCUGGUGAUGUUCAUUUUUGGUUUUGUUGCUUAGGUUUACAAAGACAAUGAAAGCAGUUUUAAAGAGCAUGGAUAUAAUAUCAAUGGCACAUUUAUCUCAGCUACACAAUGGUCUGGAUUUAACAAUGACUGUAAACGUUUCA